rnacentral:rRNA from 1 species
UACGGAGGAUGCAAGCGUUAUCCGGAAUGAUUGGGCGUAAAGCGUCCGCAGGUGGCUACGUAAGUCUGCUGUUAAAGAGUGAGGCUCAACCUCAUAAGAGCAGUGGAAACUACAUGGCUAGAGCGCGUUCGGGGCAGAGGGAAUUCCUGGUGUAGCGGUGAAAUGCGUAGAGAUCAGGAAGAACACCGGUGGCGAAAGCGCUCUGCUAGGCCGCAACUGACACUCAUGGACGAAAGCUAGGGGAGCGAAUGGG